rnacentral:rRNA from 1 species
GAGGCAGCAGUAGGGAAUCUUGCGCAAUGGGCGAAAGCCUGACGCAGCGACGCCGCGUGCGGGAAGAAGGCCUUCGGGUUGUAAACCGCUUUCAGGAGGGACGAAGCCACUCGGGUUAAUAGCCCAGAGGGUGACGGUACCUCCAGAAGAAGCCCCGGCUAACUACGUGCCAGCAGCCGCGGUAAUACGUAGGGGGCAAGCGUUGUCCGGAUUUAUUGGGCGUAAAGAGCGUGUAGGCGGCCAGAUAGGUCAGCUGUGAAAACUCGAGGCUCAACCUCGAGAUGUCGGCUGAAACCAUCUGGCUAGAGUCCGGAAGAGGAGAAUGGAAUUCCCGGUGUAGCGGUGAAAUGCGCAGAUAUCGGGAAGAACACCCGUGGCGAAGGCGGUUCUCUGGGACGGUACUGACGCUGAGACGCGAAAGCGUGGGGAGCGAACAGGAUUAGAUACCCUGGUAGUCCACGCCGUAAACGAUGGGAACUAGGUGUGGGCGGUGUCGACUCCGUCCGUGCCGAAGCUAACGCAUUAAGUUCCCCGCCUGGGGA